AAAGGACAGAGAGAAGAGGCCAUGAGAGCCUGCAGGAUGGUGGAGGCAGGCUGGGUCAGGAUAAAGAGGGAAGGAGUGGCCAGAGGACAGGGCACACAGAAUCAGACAGUCUGGGUAUCUACAAUACCUGGCCUAGACGAACCACACAAGACCAACACACUCCUGGAGAAGAGAGCCAGUAAGCCUCCAUCCACUCUUACAUGUUUGAUGAAGAAAUUAGAAAAGGAAAUGGAAAUCAGGGUGAAAGCACCUCGCAGGAAAGGCCAAGUGUGUUUGAGCCGUCUGUCCGUGCACAGGCGCCUGAACGGGGCAGCUUCCUCUGCUCUGAGGAGCAUGAACGGAGGGCCUCACAGAGCCUGGGGGGGUAGGUGCUUCCCUCCCCAGGG